AAAGAAUUAGUUAAAUUAUAUAACAUUAGAAUGUCAAACUAAAAUUAUUAAUUAAAUUAAUAUUCUUUA
rnacentral:tRNA from 1 species